rnacentral:rRNA from 1 species
AUGCCGCGUGAGUGAAGAAGGCUUUGGGUUGUAAAGCUCUUUUGUAGGGGAAGAUAAUGACUGUACCCUAAGAAUAAGGUCCGGCUAACUUCGCGCCAGCAGCCGCGGUAAUACGAAGGGACCUAGCGUAGUUCGGAAUUACUGGGCGUAAAGCGCGCGUAGGCCGUUGAGUUAGUUAAUUGUGAAAUCCCAAAGCUUAACUUUGGAACUGCAAUUAAAACUGCUCGACUAGAGUUUGAUAGAGGAAAGCGGAAUACAUAGUGUAGAGGUGAAAUUCGUAGAUAUUAUGUAGAACACCAGUUGCGAAGGCGGCUUUCUGGGUCAACACUGACGCUGAGGCGCGAAAGUAUGGGUAGCAAAGAGGAUUAGAUACCCUCGUAGUCCAUACCAUAAACGAUGAUUGCUAGAUGUUGGAAAUUUAUUUUCAGUAUCGCAGCUAACGCAUUAAGCAAUCCGCCUGGGGAGUACGACCGCAAGGUUAAAACUCAAAUGAAUUGACGGGGAACCGCACAAGCGGUGGAGCAUGUGGUUUAAUCCGAAGAUACGCGCAG